GUAGGUGAACUGCGGAAGGAUCAUUACCGAGUGUAGGGUUCCUAGCGAGCCCAACCUCCCACCCGUGUUUACUGUACCUUAGUUGCUUCGGCGGGCCCGCCAUUCGUGGCCGCCGGGGGCUCUCAGCCCCGGGUCCGCGCCCGCCGGAGACACCACGAACUCUGUCUGAUCUAGUGAAGUCUGAGUUGAUUGUAUCGCAAUCAGUUAAAACUUUCAACAAUGGAUCUCUUGGUUCCGGCAUCGAUGAAGAACGCAGCGAAAUGCGAUAACUAGUGUGAAUUGCAGAAUUCCGUGAAUCAUCGAGUCUUUGAACGCACAUUGCGCCCCCUGGUAUUCCGGGGGGCAUGCCUGUCCGAGCGUCAUUGCUGCCCAUCAAGCACGGAUUGUGUGUUGGGUCGUCGUCCCCUCUCCGGGGGGGACGGGCCCCAAAGCCAGCGUCGACACCGCGUCCGAUCCUCGAGCGUAUGGGGCUUUGUCACCCGCUCUGUAGGCCCGACCGGCGCUUGCCGAACGCAAAUCUAUCUUUUUCCAGGUUGACCUCGAUCAGUAGGAUACCCGCUGACUA
rnacentral:rRNA from 1 species